GGGGUUGUGGCUCAGGGGUAGAGCGCUUGCCUAGCAUGCGUGAGGCACUGAGUUCGAGUUCAAUUCCC
rnacentral:tRNA from 1 species